rnacentral:rRNA from 1 species
UAAGGAAUAUUGGUCAAUGGACGCAAGUCUGAACCAGCCAUGCCGCGUGAAGGAUGAAGGUCCUCUGGAUUGUAAACUUCUUUUAUCUGGGACGAAAACGGGAUUUUUAUCUCAAUUGACGGUACCAGAGGAAUAAGCACCGGCUAACUCCGUGCCAGCAGCCGCGGUAAUACGGAGGGUGCGAGCGUUAUCCGGAUUUACUGGGUUUAAAGGGUGCGUAGGUGGGCUUAUAAGUCAGUGGUGAAAUCUCCGAGCUUAACUUGGAAACUGCCGUGGAUACUAUAGGUCUUGAAUUAUCUGGAGGUAAGCGGAAUAUGUCAUGUAGCGGUGAAAUGCUUAGAUAUGACAUAGAACACCAAUUGCGAAGGCAGCUUACUACAUAUAAAUUGACGCUGAGGCACGAAAGCGUGGGGAUCAAAC